rnacentral:rRNA from 1 species
CCUACGGGUUGCAGCAGUAGGGAAUCUUCCACAAUGGGCGCAAGCCUGAUGCAGCAACACCGCGUGAGUGAAGAAGGGUUUCGGCUCGUAAAGCUCUGUUGUUGGAGAAGAACGUGCGUGAGAGUAACUGUUCACGCAGUGACGGUAUCCAACCAGCAAGUCACGUCUAACUACGUGCCAGCAGCCGCGGUAAUACGGAGGUGGCAAGCAUUACCCGGAAGUAUUGGGCGUAAAGCGAGCGCAGGCGGUUGCUUAGGUCUGAUGUGAAAGCCUACGGCUUAACCAAAGAAGUGCAUCGGAAACUGGGCGACUAGAGUGCAGAAGAGGACAGUGGAACUCCAGGUGUAGCGGUAGAAUGCGUAGAUAUAUGGAGGAACACCAGUGGCGAAGGCGGCUGGCUGGACUGCAACUGACGCUGAGGCUCGAAAGCAUGGGUAGCGAACAGGAUUAGAUACCCGUGUAGUC